UCGUUUCGUUUCCAUACAGAUACAGAUACAGAUACAGAUUACGGCGGCAUGAAUAUGAUGGACCCUAGCCCAAUUCUUUCCUUCUUCGAUUCCAGGUGCGGAAAAGCCAUUUGUGGGGUCAAAAUUAGGCCUGGGGCCAGCGGAUUGAUUUCACAAUUGCCUGCUGGCCCACCAUGCAUCAUUCAAGUGCUACCUAAAGGGAAGGAGGAGGAACUUGAAUGUCUAAGCAGCAUGAUCUUGAAUCCAGAUUUUUUUUUUGUGGUGACUAGCUCUUUUUAUCAGUUGCGGUGACUAACUGGUUCCUCCAGUUAAACAGGUAUGAACUUGUUGAUUCACUUCCAAUAUUAGUGGAGAUUAGCUUGCUUUUUUCUAAAACAAAGAAACGUGUAUGUUAUUUACAUUGACCACGAAUUAUAUUGAUAGCUCAUUUUAUGGACACAUGUCUUUGUAAUUCACCACAAUAGUUUGGUAAUGUCGCCAUUUACUAUUUGUUAUUAAGUACUCCCUCCGUUUCAAAAUGUAGGCCGUUUUAGCUUUUUUAGAUUCAUAGUGUUUGCUAUGCAUCUAGAUAUAACGUAUGUCUAAAUUCAUAGCAAAUAUAUAAAUCUAGAAAAGUCAAAACGACCUAUAUUUUGAAACGGAGGGAGUAAUUGUUAAUCCAAUAAAACAUCCAGCACCAUCUACUUUAGUAUAAGAAGAAGAAAAAUAAUAAAGUCACGCCCUAAUGCCCCAUGGACCUGCAUAAAAUUCUAGGAGGAAAAGUUUCGUUAAUUUCAGCACUAUGGUUUAGGACACUGUAUUUUUUUAUAGAAUUUAUGGUGCUCGGAUCUUCCUCCACCCUCCUUUUACCCUCAUUUUAUUCCUUGGGUUCUUAUUUUGGCUCAUUCUGGAUAGGAAAUGUUGUCAAUUAUUACUACCUGAAUGAAUGUCUAUGGGAAUAACGGGAUGCAUUUUAAGGGAAACUGAAAUGUUCUGUUACAUAUGGGGUGUUAAGCGGGACUUAAUGUUCCUUUGAAGACUAUUUUCUUGACGAGUUAUUAGGUACUCCUGAGCCUAUUUUCAACUUUUCAUCAAUGUGGAGUUGGAGGGGAUUUUGCCAAGUCACGUUCACUUUGAGACCUCUUCGCAAUGUUUUUUGUUUUAUAUUAAAAAAAUAAUCUCUUCUGCAGUGCGUUUGUGGCUGCAAUUGUUAGUAAUGCUAAUUUGUCUUUGAGAUAUAUAUACUUCGUACUCGUUUGGAUGUCUGAAACAAGUUCACUACCUUGUACUGAAGCAGUGCACCAGCAGGAACAUUCGACUUGAUCUGGGACCGUUCCUUAACUCUCAUUGGAAAUUCAAGUUACACAAUUUUUUUGAAAUGCAAGUUUAUACAAAUUA